GACCCAAUUAAUAGCAUUAUCAACCUCGGUAACUUGUACAUGUCUCACAAUGUUUUUGUAACAUUUUUUUCCCCAAUCCCUACCAUAACGUCAUUUGAUCCAGGGCCUCUGCUUGGGGACAAUGAUUGGGACUUGGGAGAGUUAGUUGAUAACCUCUAUCAAGCGAUCAUUUGAGAAGUGCUUACAGAUCAGUGCAAAGAAGUUACUGGUUACUCAUGGUAGGUUUGGACAUUCGAAUAGUUAAACAGAGAGGUGUAUUUUGUCUAGUAAACAUGCUUCAAAAAUAAGAUUACAUGU
rnacentral:misc_RNA from 1 species